rnacentral:rRNA from 1 species
UACGAAGGGGGCUAGCGUUGUUCGGAUUUACUGGGCGUAAAGCGCACGUAGGCGGUUCGUUAAGUCGGGGGUGAAAUCCUGGAGCUCAACUCCAGAACUGCCUUCGAUACUGGCGAUCUCGAGUCCGGAAGAGGUGAGUGGAACUCCGAGUGUAGAGGUGGAAUUCGUAGAUAUUAGGAAGAACACCAGUGGCGAAGGCGACUCACUGGUCCGGUACUGACGCUGAGGUGCGAAAGCGUGGGGAGCAAACAGG